rnacentral:rRNA from 1 species
GACGUAGGGUGCGAGCGUUGUCCGGAUUUAUUGGGCGUAAAGAGCUCGUAGGCGGCUCGUCGCGUCGACCGUGAAAACCCGCGGCUUAACUGCGGGCUUGCGGUUGAUACGGGCGGGCUAGAGUUCGGUAGGGGAGACUGGAAUUCCUGGUGUAGCGGUGAAAUGCGCAGAUAUCAGGAGGAACACCGGUGGCGAAGGCGGAUCUCUGGGCCUUACCUGACGCUCAGGUGCGAAAGCUAGGGGAGCGAACAGG